UAGUCUAGUGGUUAGAGUAUAGAGGUGGCAGGUAGUCUAGUGGUUAGAGUGUAGAGGUGGCAGUUAGCCUAGUGGUUAGAGUAUAGAGGUGGCAGGUAGCCUAGUGGUUAGAGUAUAGAGGUGGCAGGUAGCCUAGUAGUUAGAGGAGGCAGGUAUUCUAGUGGUUAGAGGAGGCAGGCAGCCUAGUGGUUAGAGGAGGCAUGUAGCCUAGUGGUUAGAGGAGGCAGGUAGCCCAGUGGUUAGAGGAGGCAGGUAGUCUAGUGGUUAGAGGAGGCAGGUAGCCUAGUGGUUAGAGGAGGCAGGUAGCCCAGUGGUUAGAGGAGGCAGGUAGCCUAGUGGUUAGAGGAGGCAGGUAUUCUAGUGGUUAGAGGAGGCAGGUAGCCUAGUGGUUAGAGGAGGCAGGUAGCCUAGUGGUUAGAGGGGGCAGGUAGCCUAGUGGUUAGAGGAGGCAGGUAGCCCAGUGGUUAGAGGAGGCAGGUAGCCCAGUGGUUAGAGGAGGCAGGUAGCCUAGUGGUUAGAGGAGGCAGGUAGCCUAGUGGUUAGAGGAGGCAGGUAGCCCAGUGGUUAGAGGUGGCAGGUAGCCUAGUGGUUAGAGGAGGCAGGUAUUCUAGUGGUUAGAGUGUUGGACUAAUAACCAGCAGGUAGC